UACAGAGGUCCCAAGCGUUGUUCGGAUUCACUGGGCGUAAAGGGUGCGUAGGCGGUCGGGUAAGUCUGAUGUGAAAUCCCGCAGCUCAACUGCGGAACGGCAUUGGAUACUAUCCGGCUUGAGGAAUGGAGGGGAGACUGGAAUUCUCGGUGUAGCAGUGAAAUGCGUAGAUAUCGAGAGGAACACCGGUGGCGAAGGCGAGUCUCUGGACAUUUCCUGACGCUGAGGCACGAAAGCCAGGGGAGCAAACGGG
rnacentral:rRNA from 1 species